GGUACUGCAAACUCUUUAUUUAGGAAAUUACAAGAGUAUUGUAGUAUACAAAGUGCUUAUUUUAUCACUGAACUUUGAUGUCGUGUUUUUUCUUUAAAUGUGCGGCGCAGAGGCGUAGCCAGGAAUUUUUCCAGUAGGGCCGCACGCCCACAGAAAAAAAAAUCUAACAUCACCCGCGCCGUUCGCUGAUCGCUAAAACAACAUCCGGGUCCGGGAGGCAAAUUUCAGUUGAACCAAUUAUUAACAAGCAUUCAUGAGACCAAAAUAAAGUAGCUGCCAUUGUUAAGGAUUGUUUGAUUGUCCAUGAUUACCGCUGCGGCGAGAUUUGUGCUCCCUGAAUAUUUGUCCGUUGAACCAUCUUUUCUUUGGAAUUCAAAGUGCUUCGAAACGAAUGACUUGAAGCCUAAAGGGGAGCCAAUUUCCUCGUCUUUUUGGACACUAGCCAUAGCACCAGCCCAGGAGCUGCGUACUAGUUGUCGACUAGUUGUUGAGGAGACACCUCUCUGCCAAUCCUGAUCUCUCAACGGUGUGGAAAGGUCUGCAGAGCAUCACGGGCUACAAGAAACGAACCCCCCGUCCUGUAGAGAGCCCAAGGCUUGCUAACCAGCUAAACAAGUUCUACUGCAGAGGCCGCGAGGAGGAAGUGGCUCCUGGGCUGGUGAUAUGGCUAGUGUCCAAAAAGACGAGGAAAUUUGCUUCCCUUUAGGCUUCAAGUCAUUCGUUUGGAAGUACUUUGGAUUCCAAAGAAAAGAUGGCUCAACAGACAAGAUACGUGCAGUUUGUAAAUCCUGCCAUGUCGGAAAAAACACGACAUCAAAGUUCAGUGUUAAAAUAAGCACUUUGUAUACUACAAUACUCUUGUAAUUUCCUAAAUAAAGAGUUUGCAGUACCUUGUUGAUUUUGCGUAUGAAUUGUUAUAAAUCCGGAUAUUGUUCUAUAUUUUUUAUUCAAAAAAAUAAAAAAUCGAUCGUAGAGCACUAUAUCGCGAUGUAUCGUGAAUGAAUCACAGCAGGCUUUAAGAUAUCGGAAAAUAUCGUAUCGUGUUUCUUUGUAUCGAAAUGAUAUCGUAUCGUGACAAAACCUGCGAUUUACACCCCUAAUAUAUAUAUAUAUAUAUAUAUAAUAUGCAAUUAUAUUAAUAAAAAAAACACAAGAGCAGCCUGUAUCAAUUUUGAUUGCAUUAAUACAGUACAGUACAGAACAGUACAGUACAGGUAGACUUGGGUGACUUUUUUUGGUAAGUAAACAGUGUGUGAACAUAAAAGGUGCUACAAAUAGUACAAUUAAAAGUAAGAGACCAAAGGUUAGCAAGACAAAGACAACAUGAACCUUGAACUAAUGAGGACAUCAGAUCCAAAUGUAUGAACACAACAUUGACAGAUGAUUCACUUACAGUAUUUGUUAUUUAUUUUUAUCCUAGCCAUAACAAUAUGGUAUAAAGCAGUUGAUGCCAUGGUAAUGUUGCACUAGCUCUUUUUUUUGCCUUUGUGCAUGCAUAUUUUCCCGUUGCUUGCGUGUUACUUCUGCUUAUUUCUACAUAACUAAAUAUUGCUGAUUCCUUUGCUACUUGUACAUAUAACAUUAUUCCACUGUGCCUUCAUAC